UGGGGAAUAUUGGACAAUGGGGGAAACCCUGAUCCAGCAAUGCCGCGUGAGUGAGGAAGGCCUUAGGGUUGUAAAGCUCUUUCGGCGGGGACGAUGAUGACGGUACCCGCAGAAGAAGCCCCGGCUAACUUCGUGCCAGCAGCCGCGGUAAUACGAAGGGGGCGAGCGUUGUUCGGAUUUACUGGGCGUAAAGGGCGCGCAGGCGGCAGACCAAGUCAGAUGUGAAAGCCCCGGGCUCAACCUGGGAACUGCAUUUGGGACUGGUUUGCUAGAGAUCGGGAGAGGAGAGUGGAAUUCCCAGUGUAGAGGUGAAAUUCGUAGAUAUUGGGAAGAACACCGGUGGCGAAGGCGGCUCUCUGGACCGAUACUGACGCUGAGGCGCGAAAGCGUGGGGAGCAAACAGGAUUAGAUACCCGGGUAGUCC
rnacentral:rRNA from 1 species